rnacentral:rRNA from 1 species
AUGAACGCUGGCGGCGUGCCUAAUACAUGCCAGUCGAGCGAACAGACGAGGAGCUUGCUCCUCUGACGUUAGCGGUGGACGGGUGAGUAACACGUGGAUAACCUACCUAUAAGACUGGGAUAACUUCGGGAAACCGGAGCUAAUACCGGAUAAUAUAUUGAACCGCAUGGUUCAAUAGUGAAAGACGGUUUUGCUGUCACUUAUAGAUGGAUCCGCGCCGCAUUAGCUAGUUGGUAAGGUAACGGCUUACCAAGGCGACGAUGCGUAGCCGACCUGAGAGGGUGAUCAGCCACACUGGAACUGAGACACGGUCCAGACUCCUACGGGAGGCAGCAGUAGGGAAUCUUCCGCAAUGGGCGAAAGCCUGACGGAGCAACGCCGCGUGAGUGAUGAAGGUCUUCGGAUCGUAAAACUCUGUUAUUAGGGAAGAACAAAUGUGUAAGUAACUAUGCACGUCUUGACGGUACCUAAUCAGAAAGCCACGGCUAACUACGUG